AGGGUUUGAUCCUGGCUCAGAUUGAACGCUGGCGGCAGGCCUAACACAUGCAAGUCGAACGGUAACAGAACUAGCUUGCUAGUUGCUGACGAGUGGCGGACGGGUGAGUAAUACUUAGGGAUCUGCCUCUGUGUGGGGGAUAACUAUUGGAAACGAUAGCUAAUACCGCAUAACGUCUACGGACCAAAGAGGGCUUUUAGCUCUCGCGCAGAGAGGAACCUAAGCGAGAUUAGCUUGUUGGUGAGGUAAAGGCUCACCAAGGCGACGAUCUCUAGCUGUUCUGAGAGGAAGAUCAGCCACACUGGAACUGAGACACGGUCCAGACUCCUACGGGAGGCAGCAGUGGGGAAUAUUGCACAAUGGGGGAAACCCUGAUGCAGCCAUGCCGCGUGUGUGAAGAAGGCCUUCGGGUUGUAAAGCACUUUCAGUUGUGAGGAAAGUUAUGUAGUUAAUACCUGCAUGAUGUGACGUUAACAACAGAAGAAGCACCGGCUAACUCCGUGCCAGCAGCCGCGGUAAUACGGAGGGUGCGAGCGUUAAUCGGAAUUACUGGGCGUAAAGCGCACGCAGGCGGUCUGUUAAGCUAGAUGUGAAAGCCCCGCGCUCAACGUGGGAGGGUCAUUUAGAACUGGCAGACUAGAGUCUUGGAGAGGGGAGUGGAAUUCCAGGUGUAGCGGUGAAAUGCGUAGAGAUCUGGAGGAACAUCAAUGGCGAAGGCAACUCCCUGGCCAAAGACUGACGCUCAUGUGCGAAAGUGUGGGUAGCGAACAGGAUUAGAUACCCUGGUAGUCCACACCGUAAACGCUGUCUACUAGCUGUUUGUGGAUUUAAUCCGUGAGUAGCGAAGCUAACGCGAUAAGUAGACCGCCUGGGGAGUACGGCCGCAAGGUUAAAACUCAAAUGAAUUGA
rnacentral:rRNA from 1 species